rnacentral:rRNA from 1 species
ACUCCUACGGGAGGCAGCAGUGAGGAAUAUUGGACAAUGGGUGAGAGCCUGAUCCAGCCAUCCCGCGUGAAGGACGACGGCCCUAUGGGUUGUAAACUUCUUUUGUAUAGGGAUAAACCUACUCUCGUGAGAGUAGCUGAAGGUACUAUACGAAUAAGCACCGGCUAACUCCGUGCCAGCAGCCGCGGUAAUACGGAGGGUGCAAGCGUUAUCCGGAUUUAUUGGGUUUAAAGGGUCCGUAGGCGGAUCUGUAAGUCAGUGGUGAAAUCUCACAGCUUAACUGUGAAACUGCCAUUGAUACUGCAGGUCUUGAGUGUUGUUGAAGUAGCUGGAAUAAGUAGUGUAGCGGUGAAAUGCAUAGAUAUUACUUAGAACACCAAUUGCGAAGGCAGGUUACUAAGCAACAACUGACGCUGAUGGACGAAAGCGUGGGGAGCG